GAGAGCGGGUGUUGGCCGGUGCUGGUCGCCGUCUUCAAAACGGUUGGGCGGGGUGACGAGCUUCGCCGGUGGGUUCGACUCCCACGCGCUCUCGCCA
rnacentral:tRNA from 1 species